CCUACGGGUGGCAGCAGUGGGGAAUAUUGGACAAUGGGCGAAAGCCUGAUCCAGCCAUGCCGCGUGUGUGAAGAAGGCCUUCGGGUUGUAAAGCACUUUCAGUGGGGAAGAAAGCCUUGGGGCUAAUACCCUCGAGGAAGGACAUCACCCACAGAAGAAGCACCGGCUAACUCCGUGCCAGCAGCCGCGGUAAUACGGAGGGUGCGAGCGUUAAUCGGAAUUACUGGGCGUAAAGCGCGCGUAGGCGGUCUGAUAAGCCGGUUGUGAAAGCCCCGGGCUCAACCUGGGAACGGCAUCCGGAACUGUCAGGCUAGAGUGCAGGAGAGGAAGGUAGAAUUCCCGGUGUAGCGGUGAGAUGCGUAGAGAUCGGGAGGAAUACCAGUGGCGAAGGCGGCCUUCUGGACUGACACUGACGCUGAGGUGCGAAAGCGUGGGUAGCAAACAGGAUUAGAUACCCUAGUAGUC
rnacentral:rRNA from 1 species